GCCGGUCCUCGGUAGUGGCUCCCGGGCCGCGAAGGCCACCCGGGGGCUUCGAUCGAAGACCGGC
rfam:Pseudonocardia sp. CNS-139 NODE_36_length_64715_cov_144.324_ID_21, whole genome shotgun sequence.